rnacentral:pre_miRNA from 1 species
UUAACUCAGAUUUGUAUGGAAUUGGAACGUUUACCUAUGUUUGCCGCUAGAGGCGCUGUUCCAACUCCAUACAAAAUUGAGUUA